AUAAAAUAAACAGCAUGAGUUUGUCCAAAGCUGAUGUAAAAAUGAAGUUGAUUGGCCAAUGUUAAAGCCCGUCCAUUUCAGCCUAAAGUUUUUGCGCUAAUCAAAAGCGUUGUUUGAAACUGCAUUGGAACGUGUACGAUCAACAGAUGAUAAUCGACCUACUCCCAUCGUUGUGCUGCCAACUUGCUGUUUCUCUCCGAAUCCGAUGGAGUUAAGGACGAAGAAAAAGAUAGACUAUUGUGCCCUUGACAGAGGUGAGCCCAUCAAAGCUGUCGCGGAGAAGACGUGGCCAACAGCAAAAGCUGUGGACUGAUUUGAGACAAUAGACCGCCCAAUCAGAGGAAGUCAGAGCUGCCAUAUCUUUAGCCACAUUUAUCUCAUUGCCAGAGCUUACUUUUGCCACCAAAUUCGAACUAUUUUAUGUUAAAAAUCAUGUAUAUGAAUGUACAUGUACGUAUGUUAGUUGUUCCUGAUAGCCAUUGUAAUUGUAUUGUGUAUUUUGAUGUUUUUUAUUGUAUAUUAUAAUUGUCUUUUAUCCAUACGCCUUGUUUGACGUGUGUGAAAUAAAAUAAAACAGGAAUA